rnacentral:rRNA from 1 species
UCUUUCACCGGAGCUUGCUCCACCGAAAGAAAAGGAGUGGCGAACGGGUGAGUAACACGUGGGUAACCUGCCCAUCAGAAGGGGAUAACACUUGGAAACAGGUGCUAAUACCGUAUAACAAUCGAAACCGCAUGGUUUCGGUUUGAAAGGCGCUUUUGCGUCACUGAUGGAUGGACCCGCGGUGCAUUAGCUAGUUGGUGAGGUAACGGCUCACCAAGGCAACGAUGCAUAGCCGACCUGAGAGGGUGAUCGGCCACAUUGGGACUGAGACACGGCCCAAACUCCUACGGGAGGCAGCAGUAGGGAAUCUUCGGCAAUGGACGGAAGUCUGACCGAGCAACGCCGCGUGAGUGAAGAAGGUUUUCGGAUCGUAAAACUCUGUUGUUAGAGAAGAACAAGGAUGAGAGUAGAAUGUUCAUCCCUUGACGGUAUCUAACCAGAAAGCCACGGCUAACUACGUGCCAGCAGCCGCGGUAAUACGUAGGUGGCAAGCGUUGUCCGGAUUUAUUGGGCGUAAAGCGAGCGCAGGCGGUUUCUUAAGUCUGAUGUGAAAGCCCCCGGCUCAACCGGGGAGGGUCAUUGGAAACUGGGAAACUUGAGUGCAGAAGAGGAGAGUGGAAUUCCAUGUGUAGCGGUGAAAUGCGUAGAUAUAUGGAGGAACACCAGUGGCGAAGGCGGCUCCCUGGUCUGUAACUGACGCUGAGGCUCGAAAGC